rnacentral:rRNA from 1 species
AUGGCCUCUCCCUUCCCUCGUCGAUGCUUCUCUCCAGUUCCGCCUCUCCCGCGCCCCAGCGACACCCCCUUGCAGCGACCUUGGCCGCCGCCGGCAAGCCCUCUGCGACCUCCUUCGGCCCCCUCCAUCAGCUCCUCCGCACGCGCUGCCGUUUGCCGGUUCCCGGCCGGAUCCCGCCUGCAGGGCCCCGUCCCCACCUCCGGCGCGCCAAGCUCACCGCCUCUGCCUCUUGUAGCCUCCGCUCGAUCGGGAGAGGAGCUCCCGAUCCUUGCACCGCUCGUCCCCAUCGUUUUGGGCCGGAGCUCGCUGAGGCCCUAG